rnacentral:rRNA from 1 species
UACGUAGGGGGCAAGCGUUGUCCGGAAUCAUUGGGCGUAAAGAGCGCGUAGGCGGCCCUGUAAGUCCGCUGUGAAAGUCAAGGGCUCAACCCUUGGAUGCCGGUGGAUACUGCAGGGCUAGAGUCCGGAAGAGGCGAGUGGAAUUCCUGGUGUAGCGGUGAAAUGCGCAGAUAGUCAGGAGGAACACCCGUGGCGAAAGCGGCUCUCUGGGACGGUACUGACACUGAGACGCGAAAGCGAUGGGGAGCGAACGAGG